GUACGCUGCGGCAGCAGGUGGACAAGCCGGCGGCCCAGCCCGAGCAGGCACUCGCCGAUUUCGUCGCCCCCCGUGAGACGGGCCUCGCCGACUUCAUCGGCGCGUUCGCCGUGACCACGGGCGUGGGCAUCGAGCGAAUGGUGGCGGAGUUCGAGCGCGAUCACGACGACUACAACUCGAUCAUGACCAAGGCCCUGGCCGACCGGCUGGCGGAGGCGCUCGCGGAGGCUCUGCACAAGCGGGCCCGCGAGGAAUGGGGAUACGGUCGCGGCGAAAGCAUCGCUCCGGAGGACCUCAUCCGCGAGCAGUACCGCGGCAUCCGCCCCGCGC
rnacentral:misc_RNA from 1 species